UACGUAGGGGGCUAGCGUUGUCCGGAAUCAUUGGGCGUAAAGAGCGCGCAGGCGGCCAGAUAAGUCCGGUGUGAAAGUCACAGGCUCAACCUGUGAAUGCCGCUGGAAACUGUCUGGCUAGAGUCCGGAAGGGGGGAGUGGAAUUCCUGGUGUAGCGGUGAAAUGCGCAGAUAUCAGGAGGAACACCAAUGGCGAAGGCAGCUCGCUGGGACGGUACUGACGCUGAGGCGCGAAAGCGUGGGGAGCAAACAGG
rnacentral:rRNA from 1 species